GACAGAGGUCUCAAGCGUUGUUCGGAUUCAUUGGGCGUAAAGGGCGUGUAGGCGGCGCGCUAAGUCGGGUGUGAAAUUUCGGAGCUUAACUCCGAAACUGCAUUCGAUACUGCGGUGCUUGAGGACUGGAGAGGAGACUGGAAUUCAUGGUGUAGCAGUGAAAUGCGUAGAGAUCAUGAGGAAGACCAGUGGCGAAGGCGGGUCUCUGGACAGUUCCUGACACUGAGACACGAAGGCCAGGGGAGCAAACGGG
rnacentral:rRNA from 1 species